UCUGCCCCCCUCUCCCCACACCCCCCUACCCCCGGGGUCGGGAGGCCAGACUUCCUCUUUAAUUCUUAAUAUUAGCAGUUUAUAUCUUCUCUUUUGUUCAUCAGUUUAAGCAAGGGGUUGCACUUUAAUGAUCAUUUAAAGGAACAACUUGUGGUUUCACUGACUUUUUUUCUGUUAUUUGCUCAUUUUUUAUUUUUAUUGAUUUCUGCAGUUAUCUUUAUUUCCUCCUAUUUACUUUGGGUUUAAUUUACUUUUUUUCUAGCUUCUGAAGGUAGAAGUUUAGAUUAUUGAUUUUAGACCUUUUUUCUCUGUAAGCACUGUCUGAGCUACAUUUCAUAAAUUCUGAUGUGUUAUAUUUUCUUUAACAUUUGGUUCGGAAUAUUCUCAGAUUUUUCUUGUAAUUUAAUUUUGAUCUAUGACUUUUCUAGAAAUGUGUUAAUUUCCAAACAUAUGGAGAUUUUCCAGUUGUCUUUUGGUAUUGAUUUCUCAUUUUGUUAUGGUUAGAGAACUCACUGUGUAUAAUUUUAAUCCUUUCAAAUGUCUUAUGGCCCAGAAUUAUGGUCUGUCUUGGUAAAUAAUCCUUCUGUAUUUGAAAAGAAUGUAUUCUGUUAUUUUGGGGAAUGUUCUAUAAAUGACAGGUGAAACUGGUUGAUUGUUUUUCAAGUCUUUUAUCUAUUUACUGGUCAUUUUUGUCUUUGUUCUAUGAGAGACCAUUGUUGUAAUCUCCAGUUAUAAUUACAGUUUUGUCUAUUUCUCCUUAAUUCUAUCAGAUUUGCUUCAUGUGUUUUGAAGCACUAUAAUUAUAUGCAAAUAUACUUAGGAUUGUGCUGUCUUUUUACUGAUGUGCUUAUAUUUUUUGUUAUGAAAUCUCUAUCUCUGACCAUAUUCCUUGUCCUAAAGUUGGCACUAUCCCUAACAUAAUGUUUAAAGAGUGUCAUGAUUUACUGGGGCAGGCAGGUGGUCAGAUAUUAUUGGGUCUGCUUGGUCCUCGAUGCCUGCAAGAUAUCGAGGCUUGUUUGUAAUGUUCGUUAGGGUGGGUGUAAGGUGGUCUUUACUUAAGAAUAGUCAUUUCAACUUUUUGGUUUCAUGACCCUUUAAGCUCUCUAAAAUUACUGGAGAUUCCUCCAAAAAUUAAAAUAGAACUACCAUAUGACCCAGCAAUUCCACCUCGUGAGUAUUUAUUCCAAAGAAAUAAAAAACACUAAUUCGUAAAAGAUAUAUGCACCCCUAUGUUCACUGCAUCAUUGUUUACAACAGGCAAGAUAUGGGAUUAACCUAGGAGUCCACCCACAGAUGGAUGGAUAAAGAGAAGUGUGUGUGUGUGUGUGUGUGUGUGUGUACAGACUUAUUACCCACAGUAAAAAAGGAACGGAACCUUGCCCUUUGGAGUGACAUGGAUGGGCCUAGAGGGUAUUAUGCUAAGCGCAAUAAGUCAGAGAAGGACAAAAGCUGUAUAAUUUCUCUUACAUGUAGAAUCUGAAAACGAAACGACACAAAUAAACUUGUAGAUACAGAGAACAAACUGGUGAUGACCAAAGGGGAGUGGGAUAGAAGAGGGAGCACAAAAGGUGAAGGGAUUGAGUACAAACUGCCAGUUUUAUAAAGUGAGCCACAGGGAUGUGACGUCCAGCUUAGGGAAUGUAGUCAAUAACCUCGUGAUAACUGUGUGGUGACAGAUGGCUGCUAGACUUACUGUGCUUAUCCCUGCAUAAUAUGCGUGUAUAUAUAUGUCUAACCAUGUUGUUGUACACCUGAAACUAAUACAAUAUUGUAUGUCAACUCUAAUUAAAAGAAAGUUACGAGGACUCCAAAGAACUCUUGCUUAUGUGGGUUAUGUGGAUAUUUAUUAUGUUAGAAGUUAAAACUGAGAAGUUUUAUAAUA